GACGUAGGGGGCGAGCGUUGUCCGGAUUUAUUGGGCGUAAAGAGCUCGUAGGCGGUCUGUUGCGUCUGCUGUGAAAACUCGGGGCUUAACCCCGAGCCUGCAGUGGAUACGGGCAGACUAGAGGUAGGUAGGGGAGAAUGGAAUUCCCGGUGUAGCGGUGAAAUGCGCAGAUAUCGGGAGGAACACCGGUGGCGAAGGCGGUUCUCUGGGCCUUACCUGACGCUGAGGAGCGAAAGCGUGGGGAGCGAACAGG
rnacentral:rRNA from 1 species